UACGGAGGGACCGAGCGUUAUCCGGAUUCAUUGGGCGUAAAGAGCUCGUAGGCGGCUAUUUAAGUCGAACGUGAAAUCUCGGAGCUCAACUCCGAGCCUGCGUUCGAUACUGGGUAGCUAGAGUCUGGUAGGGGGAUCUGGAAUUCCUGGUGUAGCGGUGGAAUGCGCAGAUAUCAGGAGGAACACCGGUGGCGAAGGCGGAUCUCUGGGCCGUAACUGACGCUGAGGAGCGAAAGCAUGGGGAGCGAACAGG
rnacentral:rRNA from 1 species